CAUCCUACGGGACGCAGCAGUGGGGAAUAUUGCACAAUGGGGGGAACCCUGAUGCAGCGACGCCGCGUGAGUGAAGAAGUAUUUCGGUAUGUAAAGCUCUAUCAGCAGGGAAGAAAAUGACGGUACCUGACUAAGAAGCCCCGGCUAACUACGUGCCAGCAGCCGCGGUAAUACGUAGGGGGCAAGCGUUAUCCGGAUUUACUGGGUGUAAAGGGAGCGUAGACGGCAGAGCAAGUCUGAAGUGAAAGCCCGCGGCCCAACU
rnacentral:rRNA from 1 species